rfam:Acinetobacter larvae strain BRTC-1 chromosome, complete genome.
GGGCGCUUAGCUCAGUUGGUAGAGCGUCUGCCUUACAAGCAGAAUGUCGGCGGUUCGAUCCCGUCAGCGCCCA